UACGUAGGGGGCAAGCGUUGUCCGGAUUUAUUGGGCGUAAAGAGCGUGUAGGCGGCCAUACAGGUCAGCUGUGAAAACUCGAGGCUCAACCUCGAGACGUCGGUUGAAACCGUAUGGCUAGAGUCCGGAAGAGGAGAGUGGAAUUCCCCGGUGUAGCGGUGAAAUGCGCAGAUAUCGGGAAGAACACCCGUGGCGAAGGCGGCUCUCUGGGGACGGUACUGACGCUGAGACGCGAAAGCGUGGGGAGCGAACAGG
rnacentral:rRNA from 1 species